ACUCCUACGGGAGGCAGCAGUGGGGAAUAUUGGACAAUGGGCGCAAGCCUGAUCCAGCCAUGCCGCGUGAGUGAUGAAGGCACUAGGGUUGUAAAGCUCUUUCACCGGUGAAGAUAAUGACGGUAACCGGAGAAGAAGCCCCGGCUAACUUCGUGCCAGCAGCCGCGGUAAUACGAAGGGGGCUAGCGUUGUUCGGAUUUACUGGGCGUAAAGCGCACGUAGGCGGACUAUUAAGUCAGGGGUGAAAUCCCGGGGCUCAACCCCGGAACUGCCUUUGAUACUGGUAGUCUUGAGUUCGAGAGAGGUGAGUGGAAUUCCGAGUGGAGAGGUGAAAUUCGUAGAUAUUCGGAGGAACACCAGUGGCGAAGGCGGCUCACUGGCUCGAUACUGACGCUGAGGUGCGAAAGCGUGGGGAGCAAACAGGAUUAGAUACCCGUGUAGUCCC
rnacentral:rRNA from 1 species